UGUGGGAGCGGCUUCCUUGGAGUCGCGCCUGGCAACGGCUGGGCGUCCCGCUCUGGCCUGCCUAGGAUCAGGCGUCGCUUCUUCCCUCGGCCCACUCGUGGUCAGCCCGCUCCUCCUCGGCGCGAGGUACAAAUGAUGGAAAAUGUUCAUCUGGCACCAGAAACAGAUGAGGACGACCUUUACUCUGGUUUCAACGACUACAACCCAGCCUAUGAUACUGAGGAGUUGGAGAAUGACACGGGUUUUCAGCAAGCAGUGAGAACCAGUCAUGGCAGAAGACCUCCCGUAACUGCUAAAAUACCAAGCACAGCAGUCAGCAGACCCAUAGCUACUGGAUAUGGGUCCAAGACAUCCCUGACAUCAUCAAUGGGAAGACCGAUGACAGGGACAAUUCAGGAUGGAGUUGCUCGACCGAUGACAGCAGUGAGAGCAGCUGGCUUUUCCAAGGCAGCUUUGCGAGGCUCUGCAUUUGACCCCCUUGGUCAGUCCAGGGGCCCUGCUCCUCCUUUGGAAGCCAAAAAUGAAGACAGUCCAGAAGAAAAAAUUAGACAGUUGGAGAAGAAAGUAAAUGAGUUGGUGGAAGAAAGCUGUAUUGCCAACAGUUGUGGAGACUUAAAACUGGCCUUAGAGAAGGCAAAAGAUGCAGGAAGAAAAGAGAGAGUCCUGGUGAGACAACGAGAGCAAGUCACAAGUCCAGAAAAUAUCAACUUGGACUUAACCUACUCCGUUCUUUUCAACUUGGCCAGUCAGUAUUCUGCUAAUGAAAUGUAUGCAGAAGCACUGAACACAUACCAAGUUAUAGUGAAAAACAAGAUGUUUAGCAAUGCAGGAAGACUGAAAGUGAAUAUGGGAAAUAUUUAUUUAAAGCAGAGAAAUUAUUCCAAAGCCAUUAAGUUCUACCGAAUGGCCUUAGAUCAGAUCCCAAGUGUCCAUAAAGAAAUGAGGAUCAAAAUAAUGCAGAACAUUGGAAUCACAUUUAUAAAAACUGGUCAGUACUCAGAUGCCAUCAACUCAUUUGAGCACAUCAUGAGCAUGGCCCCGAGCCUGAAGGCAGGCUUCAACCUCAUCCUUAGUUGUUUUGCCAUUGGAGAUCGGGAGAAAAUGAAGAAGGCAUUCCAAAAAUUAAUUGCUGUUCCGUUAGAAAUUGAUGAAGAUGAUAAAUAUAUCUCCCCAAGUGAUGAUCCCCAUACUAACUUGCUGAUUGAAGCUAUAAAAAAUGACCACCUUAGGCAAAUGGAACGUGAAAGGAAAGCCAUGGCAGAAAAAUACAUCAUGACAGCUGCAAAACUCAUUGCUCCUGUGAUCGAAGCGUCUUUUGCUGUGGGUUAUAACUGGUGUGUGGAAGUAGUGAAAGCCUCUCAGUAUGUGGAGCUGGCCAACGACCUGGAGAUUAACAAAGCAAUUACUUACUUGAGACAAAAGGACUUUAACCAAGCUGUAGACACAUUGAAAAUGUUUGAGAAGAAGGACAGUAGAGUGAAGAGUGCAGCUGCGACCAACCUCUCGUUCCUGUAUUAUCUGGAAAACGAAUUUGCCCAAGCCAGCAGCUAUGCAGAUUUAGCUGUGAACUCGGAUAGAUAUAACCCGUCAGCUCUCACUAAUAAAGGGAACACAGUUUUUGCAAAUGGUGAUUAUGAGAAGGCAGCUGAGUUCUAUAAAGAGGCCCUGAGAAACGACUCUUCCUGUACUGAAGCACUGUAUAACAUUGGCCUCACCUAUAAGAAGCUGAACCGUCUGGAUGAAGCCCUGGACUCCUUCCUGAAACUGCACGCGAUCCUUCGGAACAGCGCUCAAGUUCUUUGCCAGAUAGCAAACAUAUAUGAGUUAAUGGAAGAUCCCAAUCAAGCUAUUGAAUGGCUGAUGCAGUUGAUCAGCGUUGUUCCAACUGAUUCCCAAGCUCUGUCUAAACUGGGAGAGUUAUACGAUAGUGAGGGAGACAAGUCCCAGGCAUUCCAAUAUUACUAUGAGUCAUACAGGUAUUUCCCUUCUAACAUUGAAGUCAUUGAAUGGCUUGGAGCUUAUUACAUUGAUACACAGUUCUGCGAGAAAGCCAUUCAGUACUUUGAAAGAGCUUCCCUUAUACAACCCACACAAGUGAAGUGGCAGCUGAUGGUAGCUAGCUGCUUUAGAAGAAGUGGUAACUACCAAAAGGCAUUAGAUACUUAUAAAGAGAUUCACAGGAAAUUUCCGGAGAAUGUUGAAUGUUUGCGUUUCUUGGUUCGUCUCUGCACAGAUAUUGGAUUAAAAGAAGUUCAAGAAUAUGCCACAAAACUCAAGAGGUUGGAAAAAAUGAAAGAAAUGAGGGAACAGCCCGCUAGUCCCUCCAACGGGAUUUCUCAGUCUCCAGCUCCUCCUGUGUUUUUGGUUUCCUCCUGCUAUUGACUUCUAGUUUUAUUCAAAUGCGCAUAAAAUCGGGCAGAGACAGCAGCGGGGGUUCUCGCAGCAAACGAGAGGGGAGUGCUGGCAGUGACAGUGGCCAGAACAAUAGUGCCAGUAGUAAGAGUGAACGACUGAGUGCCAAGCUCAGAGCUUUGCCUGGGACAGAUGAACCUUAUGAAAGUAGCGGUAACAAAGAAAUAGAUGCCUCCUACGUGGAUCCACUGGGCCCUCAGAUAGAAAGACCAAAAACUGCAGCCAAGAAAAGAAUUGACGAGGAUGAUUUUGCUGAUGAAGAGUUAGGAGAUGACUUGCUCCCAGAAUAAUAUAAACUCUAAUAUGCUCUGUGUGUGUGUGUGUGUCAGAAAACAGCCUCAGAUGUUCCUCAGGCACCAUCCAUCACCUUUUUACAUUUGUGGCAGGGUUCCUCUGGCCUGGAACUUGCCAUAUAGGCAAGACUGGCUGGCUGGCCACCCCAUGGGUCUGCUUGUCUCUGCUCCCUGGCUGCAGAGAUUUAUAAGCACUUGCCACCACAUCCAGCUUUCUUUAAAUGGACUCUAGGGCUUGAACUCAGGUCCUCCAGCUUGCAAGGCAAGCACUUUUCCAAUUGUGCUCUCUCUAGCCAAAUAAGUCAUUUACCAAAGAAAAGAAAUUGCCUUAUAAGGUAAUAUUCAUGUUAAACCUGGAUCAAAUAUCCAAACUUUAAUUUUGUACACUGGUGAAACUUUCAAUAAGUGUGUUUUGUUCUCUGAGGAUGGGUUUGUGCUGUCAUUUUUUAAAAUGGAAUAAAAACUAUGAAGCUGC